GCCGAGCUGAGGCUUGCUUCCAGAGAAGAUGGCAGCCCUUCACACGGCUCCAGACUCCCCAGCUGCCCUGUUGGAGAGGGCCGAGCAUGGGUCGGAAUGUGAUCCUGAUCAGGAGGAAGAGGAGGAGGAGGAGAUAGCGGUGGAAGAAGCGGAGGACGAGGCUGUGGAGGAGCUGGAAGCGGAGGCGGCAGAGGGGCAGGCGGAGGUGGAGGAGGCCGAGGGUGUAGCAGAGGUGGUGGCAGAGGAGCAGAGUGAGGCGCUGGGGACCCAGGAGCACCUUGGCUGUGGUGGUCACACCAAGUCCCCAGGUCUUCAGGAAAAGGCCCUGCAGGCCUCUCAGGUGCCAGCCACACCUAGGGACGAGGACCUGGAGGAGGACGAAGAGGAGGAGGAGGAGGAGGAGGAGGAUGACGACGAUGAUGAUUCCCUGACAGCGGGGUCUCAGGUGAGCUGCCCUCUCGGUUGGAGUUCAGUUAACUAGGCAGGGUUUUCCCGGGGAGCUUGGCACCUGCUGUCCUAGAGACCCCUGUAGGCGGGGCACUGGCACUUGGUCCUCAGGCUGAGCCCAGGCUGUGAGCCGGGACGGGGCUGCAGGAAGUGGCUGGGCAUCUCUAGCCCCAAGCCCAGGCGAUGUGGUUCCACUCUCCGGGGGCCUGACCCUUCCUGAGCCACUGGAAUGUCCCGAUCGUGUUGACCGGCACCCACUGACCUGUACUGUGCACAGUUCCUUCACUGGCCUGGCUCCCCGCAGUCAGGCCGUGCCCGUUCCCUGGAGGGCCUGUCCCCGUCCAGGCUCUGGCUUCGUGAUGAGCCCAGUCAGAUUGGGCGCCAGUGCCCACACUCAGUUCACUUGGUGCCGCUUGUCCACCCACGCAUGGAUCCUCACGCUGCUGAUGCGACCACUGGCUUGAGCCAGACAGUGAUGUAGGAGUGUGUUAGGUGGCCACGCAGCAUGGCCGUGGGGGCUGGGGCUUCCUUGUCUCCUGACCCCUGUGUGAGUCCUGGCUCUGCCUCGUGUGAGCUGGGCACCCACCCUCUCCGAGCCUGGGCUCCCAGUCUCUGGAUGGGAAUGGAGUCCCUGCCUCCCAGGGCUGUGGCGAGGCCCGGACGCCCCCAGUACUGUGGGGCCUUGGUAGGCCUGCCGGCAGAGGGGUGUUGGGCUGCGUCCCCAUGAGCUCCAGCUUGCAGGGCCGCGGUCAGUCCCUGCUGAAGUCUCUCCUGUUGCUCUCUUCGUAGGCGCUCCCCCGCCUCUCGCCUGGGGCAGCUUGGGGCAGUGGCCAGGGCUCAUUGUUUUCCAGGGGCUGGUGACUUUUGAAGAUGUGGCUGUGUACUUCUCCCUGGAGGAGUGGGAGAGGCUGGAUGCAGCUCAGC
rnacentral:lncRNA from 1 species